CUUUAGUCCAAAAUUCACCCGUCUUAGACAAUUUGGUCGAAAUUUAAACGAGUUAAUCCAAACUCUCAUCGAUUCAAAAAUUCCCUAACUUUCUCACUACCAAAUUUACCCUUAAGAGUCAUAAUCAUUCUGAAUUCAUUUGAUUGUGGAUCUCAGAUUUCUGGAGAGCGAGAGCGAUAGAGAGAGAUCGAGAGAAAUUCUUCUUUUCUUCCUUCAAUUUUCUUUAAUUAUCCAUUCUUUUCUUUGAUGCAGGUACUGCAACUCAUGCAUGAUAACUAUGAAAACAUAUGGUGAAUUAGAUGAAUAGAGGAAGGUAUUGUUAGUUCCGUUGAUUUGUUUGGGUUAGGGCUUCUGGAGAAAAGGUGAAACAGAAUCAGAGUUAGGGUUUCCUGAUUUGAAAUCUAAGUGGAGCGGGUGAUGAUUUGAUUUCUUAGAGUUGUGAUGAAGAAUUAGAUCGUGGUGAUGUUGCUGAUAGAUGAAAACUAUCUUAACAUUUUUUACGUCUUUGAUCGGAACAGAAUUUGGAGACUGGAAUGCUAAAUUAAAUUGUACCAGGAGAUGCAAAUCUUUCUACAACGGCCUUCGCAAUAAAAGCUAAACACGAGUGAAAGCUUUCUAAACAUGAGAAAGCAUUAAAAAUACCAGAUACAACUAGAAGCAAAAGUGGUACAAGAUCUGGUACAUGACAAGCUAUAAUCCUCAAGAAGCUAGGCUUGGUAAAAUCUGGGUGGACUAUGUGUGUACCCAGCAGUAUUUUCAAUCAAGUGGAACAGUAAACAGAGUGACUAUUUUGACCGACAAGGCUCUGCUUUUUAAAUGAAUCGGAGUUGCAUGGGCGUCAACUGAAGGUGCCUCAUUUUCGGAUGACGUUAGAGGAUGUUUUGGAGAAGAAAGUAUUGUAGUUAGAGAGUGAAAAAAAUUAUUGGCUUCAGAAGGAGGCAAUUGCUAAAAGGUUGGCAGAGCUAAAUGGAAAGGGAAUGAUAAUAAUAAUCAUCGCAGCGGUAGAAAAAGCUGGUUUUGUUGACAAAAAGGGUUUAGACGAGGUGCAGCGGUAUGUUACUGUUUAAAGGACUGUAGGCGAGGGAAUAUUCAAAUGAUAUUAAAGCACAAGAACUUCUUCAUUUGGUUAGUAAUUUCAUUCCGAACUUCAGUUGAUUUUUGUAGGUGUGUACAUAGUUGUGUACCAUGGUAAUUACUAGAAAAACUUCCGAAAUGUCACAUGUAUACUCUGUUUGACAACAUCCCUCAUGUCACAAGAAGGAAAAACCACAUAUUUAUGUCCGAUUUAUAAAUAAUGACUAUAUGCCUUUAUAAAUUGUUAGUUAUGCACAAUACACACUUUAGAAUCGUGAGUGCCUGAAGUAGUAGAUUAUUAGAUUCAAGAGUAAGCAAUUUGUUAGAAUCGUGAGUGCCUGAAAUAGUAGGUUAUUAGAUUCAGGGGGUGUUGGACAGUGUCUGCUAAAAGUUAAUUUUGGCAUAAAACAUCUUAAUUAUCGAUAUUACCUUAUUUUACUUUUGUUUCAUAUGAUAUCUAGCAAAAUCAUUUGUACAUUAUCGUACACUGCAAUUGUCCUUGGUAAUUGUUUAUGGGCACAUAGUUGUACACAUAUUGGUUGAUAAUGUCCUUGGAUAUGGACUUGUACAUAUGGGUAUACAUGUUUUUGGUACACAUGUUAUUUGUUAUUGUGGGCAUGUUGAUUCUUUUUAUUGUUUAUGUUUAAGGACUCAUAAGCUUAAAAUGGUAGAGCGCCCAAGCCUAUCACAAGGUUUGCGGAGGUUGAUGGUUCAAAUCCAUUUGAGUUUCCAUGUUAUGUUUAUUUAAUAUGGAUAGCGUUAUUGGUGCUUAGAUGGACGAUUCAAGUUAUCUGUGGUGUACAAACUAGUGCACCUUUGCACCUUGUCUUGUCUUUUCGAUUUUCUGGAUUUUUGUAGAUGUGUACAUGUUUGUACACCAAUGUAAAUCUAGAUUUUUAAAAAAUGAGAAUUAUAUAGUCAUAUCGGUACUCUUUUUGUAACUCUCGGAAAAAGCUUUCCGAAAAUAUAAAAUUUGUGAAUUUUGGAGUAACGAUU